UACGAAGGGGGCUAGCGUUGCUCGGAAUCACUGGGCGUAAAGGGUGCGUAGGCGGGUCUUUUAAGUCAGGGGUGAAAUCCUGGAGCUCAACUCCAGAACUGCCUUUGAUACUGAGGAUCUUGAGUUCGGGAGAGGUGAGUGGAACUGCGAGUGUAGAGGUGAAAUUCGUAGAUAUUCGCAAGAACACCAGUGGCGAAGGCGGCUCACUGGCCCGAUACUGACGCUGAGACACGAAAGCGUGGGGAGCAAACAGGG
rnacentral:rRNA from 1 species